rnacentral:rRNA from 1 species
AUUGAACGCUGGCGGCAGGCCUAACACAUGCAAGUCGAGCGAGCGGCGGACGGGUGAGUAAUGUAUGGGGACUGCCCGAUAGAGGGGGAUAACUACUGGAAACGGUAGCUAAUACCGCAUACAAUCGCAUAACCCAUAUGGGAUGAGCUAGUAGGUGAGGUAAAGGCUCACCUAGGCGACGAUCCCUAGCUGGUCUGAGAGGAUGAUCAGCCACACUGGGACUGAGACACGGCCCAGACUCCUACGGAGGCAGCAGUGGGGAAUAUUGCACAAUGGGCGCAAGCCUGAUGCAGCCAUGCCGCGUGUAUGAAGAAGGCCCUAGGGUUGUAAAGUACUUUCAGUCGGGAGGCGUUACCGGCAGAAGAAGCACCGGCUAACUCCGUGCCAGCAGCCGCGGUAAUUC